UCCGCCCCCUCGCUCCCGGAAGUAGAAGGGCCUGGCGUUUCCAUGGCGGCUUCCCUGGGGCAGGUGCUUGCCCUGGUGCUGGUGGCCGCACUGUGGGGUGGCACGCAGCCGCUGCUGAAGCGUGCCUCCUCCGGCCUGCAGCAGGUGCAUGAGCAGACAUGGGCCCGGCAGCUGUUGCAGGAGAUGAAGACUCUCUUCUUGAAUACUGAGUACCUGAUGCCCUUUCUCCUCAAUCAGAGUGGCUCCCUUGUCUACUACUUGACCUUGGCCUCAGCAGAUCUGACUUUAGCUGUGCCCAUCUGUAACUCUCUGGCCAUCGUCUUCACAAUGAUUGUUGGGAGGAUCCUCGGAGAAGAUAUUGGUGGAAAACAAGCAGUGGCCGGCAUGGUGCUCACCAUCACAGGGAUCAUGUUUUGCAUCACAAGCUCGGUGACCAAGACCCAGGGCCAACUGUAGGCCUCUUGAGCAGGCCAACCUGUCCUGCAGCUCUGCCGUGCUCAGCUGACUCUGGGCACUGAGGUACAGGCAGAGUGAGACACUGGCUUAACUGCCUCCUCUCCUGGACCACAUCUACCUCAGGGGUGAACAGCACUGUCCAGAGUUGAGGACAACCGAGGCUACACAGGAGAGCCCUGCCUCAAAAAAGCAAGCAAGCAAGCAAACAAAGCAACAACUCUGGGAAGGUUGUGUAACCUUGGGUGGGUGGAUCUCUGAGUUCAAGGCCAGCCUGGGAUACAGAAUGAGUUCCAGGACAGCCAAGGCCACACAGAAACCCUGUGUCAAAAACCAAAGGAAAAAAGGGGGCUAGCACUGGAGACUGCACACACACUUAGCAGCCUCUGCCCCAGCAGCCCCAGUCUUCCUGCUGUCAACUCAGGCAGCUGUUACCUGGCCUCUAUCUAGACCUGCUGGCCUGCUCUAGACUACGGAGUCUGCAGAGCCUUAGCCACAUGGAAAGGGCUGGCUGCCGCCUCUGAAUCAGGACUGUCUGGCAGACUCCAAAGCCCCAUUACAGUGCCUUGGCUGGCCGACGGUGGAAUUCAGGGAGAACCCCUGGAAGAAAAGUGAAGUAACCAGCUCUGGGCAAAAAUGCAAGUAAGUCCCUAUGAAAGAAGCGAGGGACUUGGGCCGAAGGUGGCUCGUGUACCAACGUGUGUGCUGUGUGAGCCUGACAGCCCGUGCUCAGUGCUCUGAAACCCACGCAAAGGUGGGCGGAAACAACUGACUCUGUCCUCUGGCCGCUGCGUGAUGAGCCACGGCAUUCAAAUGCUCAUGCACAUAUAGCAUGCACACACAAUAAUGAAUACGGAAGUAAAUAAAAGAAGCAAGAGCAGGGCUGGAGAAAUGGCUCAGAGGUUAAAAGCACUGGCUGUUCCCCCAGACGUCCUGAGUUCAAUUCCCAGCACACACAUGGUGGCUCCCAACCAUCAUAUAAUGAUAUCUGGUGCCCUCUUCUGGCAUGUAGGGAUAUAUGCAGGCAGAAUACUGUAUAAAUAAUAAAUAAAUCUUUUAAAAAAGAA